CCAAAAACUGGGGAAACGACUGGCGCGCGGAGCAAUGACGUAAUGUGAUCAAUUGAAAGAGGGGGUUCGAGCUGGGCAAUAAUGCACCGACUGCAGAGAGAAUAGAUAGCAUGUGCUGGGUAGCUGCCUGUUCUCAAAGGGGAUCUGUGGUUUUGUUUGGGGAGUUCAGUCUACAGAGCGCUGAAUCUCGGCGCGCUUUUGUGGGAUAUACCUGGCGCGCGGAACGCUGUCGCUCGCGGAUUCACAAUGGGAAGAAAUUUAAACCCGUGGAAGAGGCCAUGUUGAUCUUAUCUCCCAAGUGGAUUAAAAAGCACACUGUUACCAUGAAGGCGGCGAGGUGCAAGCGGCCCUCGCCAUCAUGAAACAGAAACGGCCUCAUCCCGGGACCAGACUCUCCUCCGCUACCUCUCUCAGGCCGGCACUCUCGGACUGCAUCUGAACUGACGGAGUCAUGUCGGACGAUCCGACCGACUGAGCCGAGAGCCGCUCUGUUUGAGAUCAUCGAUGAGAUUUCCUAUUUAUUUAUUUAUUGGAGAAGGGCGAUGAAUUGAGAACUUUGCCAAUGGAAGAGACGUGGGCCUGAAGUACUUGGGGAUUUCCCUUAAUUUUGGGAGAUACACUGGUUGGAUUAGUCAAGGGGAUAAAGACUGAGGAUAGCAAGGAGGCAGAACCUGUGAUUUUUAAAGGACAUGGAAUCAGGAGCCGAGGCGACCCCACAUCAGCAACCGAGGCGGAAGGCGGUGGCUCACGGAUUAGAAGACCAGAAACGGGAGUCACGGCAGGAGUCCCGUUCGAAGCGGCGGGGGGGGAAGAGACCUCCAAGCUGGCAUCCCCGUGGGGGCGGGUCUCCCCCCCUUUCCGAAUUUCCCUGGGAUCGCCCUCUCCGCGUCCCGUCAGGAGAAUUUGAGAGUGGUUUCUACUAAGCAGAAAAUGGGGGAUUAGCUUUAGGGCUGUCAUGACUGCUGCACAGCUGGCCUACCGCAGUUAUGAAAAUCCAUACAGUUAAAUUUCCAUCGCCUUGGUGACAGGUUUUUCUUUUUUUAAAGGUUAUGCAAUUUUUCUGUUUCGUUUUUUCGUUUCAUUGUCAGUGUCUCCUGUUCUGAAGCAGUGGCGUGUGUAUUUGCAAUCGCAGAAAGGAGGAAUAGCCUAAAUGUAAUGGCGCCCGAUUCCGUCCUCCAUCCGCUGAAACGCCCUCCC